rnacentral:rRNA from 1 species
GGCGUAAAGAGCGCGUAGGCGGCUAGGCACGUCUGAUGUGAAAAUCCCAAGCUCAACCUGGAACCUGCAUUGGAUACUGCUUUGCUAGAGGAUUGGUAGGGGAGAUGGGAAUUCCUGGUGUAGCGGUGGAAUGCGCAGAUAUCAUGAGGAACACCGGUGGCGAAGGCGCAUCUCUGGGCCGUAACUGACGCUGAGGAGCGAAAGCGUGGGGAGCGAACAGGAUUAGAUACCCUGGUAGUCCACGCCGUAAACGGUGGGUGCUAGGUGUGGGUCUCCUUCCUUGUGAUCCGUGACGAAGUUAACACAUUAAGCACCCCGCCUGGGGAGUACGGUCGCAAGACUAAAACUCAAAGGAAUUGACGGGGGCCCGCACAAGCGGCGGAGCAUGCGGAUUAAUUCGAUGCAACGCGAAGAACCUUACCAAGGCUUGACAUAUAGAGGAAAAGUGCAGAAAUGUACUCCCCGCAAGGUCUCUAUACAGGUGGUGCAUGGUUGUCGUCAGCUCGUGUCGUGAGAUGUUGGGUUAAGUCCCGCAACGAGCGCAACCCUCGUCCUAUGUUGCCAGCACGUAAUGGUGGGAACUCAUGGGAUACUGCCGGGGUCAACUCGGAGGAAGGU